rnacentral:lncRNA from 1 species
AGGCACCUUUCGAAGGAUAAAACUGUGAGGGGCUAGUACCUACGCGGACCCCCAAAACGGACAACCUUGUGAGGGAUGCAGCUCUCUUUUUCUGCUCGGAUUGAUGGGGACUAGGAAAAAAUCCCGGCAACAAUAACAAUUUGGUAAUGAAAUAGAACGAAGUCAUACUCAGCAAAGAAACGUUGGAGAAAUUCGCACCCGAAAAGAUCGCAUAACCAACCUCUUACCAUUCCAGCUACCUAAUUUUGUGAACUUUCUGCCAUAGGCUUUGAAUAUGCUGUAAAAUAAACCUAACGACCCGUGUGAACUCCACAUCCUGCGAACAAGGAGCUCAGUCCGCCUGAGCCGUACCAACUGGUACAACUGUGUUCCGACCCGACACCCAUCGGGUACAACCCAGUGGAAAGCUCAUACUAUUCAUGUGCUUCUGGAAUCCCUUUGACAUCA